CCUACGGGGGGCAGCAGUGAGGAAUAUUGGUCAAUGGGCGCGAGCCUGAACCAGCAACGUAGCGUGAAGGAUGACUGCCCUACGGGUUGUAAACUUCUUUUAUAAAGGAAUAAAGUGAGGCACGUGUGCCUUUUUGUGUGUACUUUAUGAAUGAGGAUCGGCUAACUCCGUGCCAGCAGCCGCGGUAAUACGGAGGAUCCGAGCGUUAUCCGGAUUUAUUGGGUUGAAAGGGAGCGUAGAUGGGUUGUUAAGUCAGUUGUGAAAGUUUGAGGCUCAACCGUAAUAUUGCAAUUGAUACUGGCAGCCUUGAGUACAGUUGAGGUAGGCGGAAUUCGUGGUGUAGCGGUGAAAUGCUGAGAUAUCACGAAGAACCCCGAGUGCGAAGGCAGCUUACUAAACUGCCACUGACAUUGAUGCUCGAAAGUGUGGGUAUCAAACAGGAUUAGAUACCCGGGUAGUC
rnacentral:rRNA from 1 species